CACGAACCGGACAAACGUUAUUCGGAAUUAUUGGGCUUAAAGGGUGCGUAGGCGGUGCGGUAAGUGCGGUGUGAAAGCCCUCGGCUCAACCGAGGAAUUGCGCUGCAUACUGCCGUGCUAGAGGGAGACAGAGGUAAGCGGAACUGAUGGUGGAGCGGUGAAAUGCGUUGAUAUCAUCAGGAACACCGGUGGCGAAAGCGGCUUACUGGGUCUUCUCUGACGCUGAGGCACGAAAGCUAGGGUAGCGAACGGGAUUAGAUACCCCGGUAGUCCUAGCCGUAAACGAUGAGCACUUGAUUGAGGGCCCCCCCAUAGGCUCUCGAUCGCAGCGAAAGUGUUAAGUGCUCCGCCUGGGGAGUAUGGUCGCAAGGCUG
rnacentral:rRNA from 1 species